AUGGAUGUGUCUUGUUACCAGUCUGUGGAUAAUAGUUUUCUGCAAUAUUGGAAGACUUGUUAGAUAAAACAUUUUAGAUGAUCCAACUUAAUCACAAGUUCUUUCAGGUCAGUAAGUUGCCAAGUGAGACCACUACAGGAACAAUUUGAAGAAGUAUCACUUUUUUCAUUCCCUGCUGUACAUCACAGAGAUGCACCGGCG
rnacentral:lncRNA from 1 species